AGCGAACGUUUGCGGCGGGCUUAACACAUGCAAGUCGAACGGGCUGUUCCUUCGGGGGCGAGUCAGUGGCGCACGGGUGGCGUAACACGUAGGUAAUCAACCCUCCUGGUUGGGGAGUAACACUUCGAAAGGAGUGCUAAUACCCGGUAUGGCGCAGCGGUCUUCGGAUCGCGGCGAGAAAGACCCGCAAGGGUUGCCAGAGGACGAGCCUGCGGCCCAUCAGCUAGUUGGCGAGGUAACGGCUCACCAAGGCGAAGACGGGUAGCUGGUCUGAGAGGAUGAUCAGCCACACUGGAACUGAGACACGGUCCAGACUCCUACGGGAGGGCAGCAGUGGGGAAGUAUUGCGCAAUGGGCGAAAGCCUGACGCAGCCACGCCGCGUGAGUGAUGAAGGCC
rnacentral:rRNA from 1 species